GGGUUGUGAGGUUAAGCGACUAAGCGUACACGGUGGAUGCCCUGGCAGUCAGAGGCGAUGAAGGACGUGCUAAUCUGCGAUAAGCGUCGGUAAGGUGAUAUGAACCGUUAUAACCGGCGAUUUCCGAAUGGGGAAACCCAGUGUGAUUCGUCACACUAUCAUUAACUGAAUCCAUAGGUUAAUGAGGCGAACCGGGGGAACUGAAACAUCUAAGUACCCCGAGGAAAAGAAAUCAACCGAGAUUCCCCCAGUAGCGGCGAGCGAACGGGGAGGAGCCCAGAGCCUGAAUCAGUGUGUGUGUUAGUGGAAGCGUCUGGAAAGGCGCGCGAUACAGGGUGACAGCCCCGUACACAAAAAUGCACAUACUGUGAGCUCGAUGAGUAGGGCGGGACACGUGGUAUCCUGUCUGAAUAUGGGGGGACCAUCCUCCAAGGCUAAAUACUCCUGACUGACCGAUAGUGAACCAGUACCGUGAGGGAAAGGCGAAAAGAACCCCGGCGAGGGGAGUGAAAAAGAACCUGAAACCGU
rnacentral:rRNA from 1 species